rnacentral:misc_RNA from 1 species
AGAUCUUGAGUCUGCUAUUGCAAACUGCAUGGGCUACAAAACUGAGGGAGAAGGCUUUAUGGUUGGAGUCCAGAUAAAUCCUGUAUCAGGCUUGCCAUCUGGCUUUCAGGACCUCCUCCAUUUUGUCUUAGACCAUGUGGAAGAUAAAAAUGUGGAAACUCUUCUUGAGGGAUUGCUAGAGGCUCGUGAGGAGCUUAGGCCCUUGCUUCUCAAACCAAACAACCGUCUAAAGGAUCUGCUGUUUUUGGACAUAGCACUUGAUUCUACAGUUAGAACAGCAGUAGAAAGGGGAUAUGAAGAAUUGAACAGUGCUAAUCCUGAGCAACUCAUGUACUUCAUCUCCCUCGUUCUUGAAAAUCUCGCACUCUCUGUGGACGAUAAUGAAGAUCUUGUUUAUUGCUUGAAGGGAUGGAAUCAAGCUCUUUCAAUGUCCAAUGGUGGGAACCACCAUUGGGCUUUAUUUGCAAAAGCUGUGCUUGACAGAACCCGUCUUGCACUUGCAAGCAAGGCAGAGUGGUACCAUCACUUAUUGCAGCCAUCUGCCGAAUAUCUAGGAUCAAUACUUGGGGUGGACCAAUGGGCUUUGAACAUAUUUACUGAAGAAAUUAUACGUGCUGGAUCAGCAGCUUCGUUAUCCUCUCUUCUUAAUAGACUCGAUCCUGUGCUUCGGAAAACUGCAAAUCUAGGAAGUUGGCAGAUUAUCAGUCCAGUUGAAGCCGUUGGAUAUGUUGUCGUUGUGGAUGAGUUGAUUUCAGUUCAGAAUGAAAUCUACGAGAAGCCCACAAUUUUAGUAGCAAAAUCUGUUAAAGGAGAGGAGGAAAUUCCUGAUGGGGCUGUUGCCCUGAUAACACCAGAUAUGCCAGAUGUUCUUUCACAUGUUUCUGUUCGAGCUAGAAAUGGGAAGGUUUGCUUUGCUACAUGCUUUGAUCCCAAUAUAUUGGCUGACCUCCAAGCAAAGGAAGGAAGGAUUUUGCUCUUAAAGCCCACACCUUCAGACGUAAUCUAUAGUGAGGUGAAUGAGAUUGAGCUCCAAAGUUCAAGUAACUUGGUAGAAGCUGAAACUUCAGCAACACUUAGAUUGGUGAGAAAGCAAUUUGGUGGUUGUUACGCAAUAUCAGCAGAUGAAUUCACAAGUGAAAUGGUUGGAGCUAAAUCACGUAAUAUUGCAUAUCUGAAAGGAAAAGUGCCUUCCUGGGUGGGAAUUCCUACGUCAGUAGCUCUUCCAUUUGGAGUCUUUGAGAAAGUACUUUCAGACGACAUAAAUCAGGGAGUGGCAAAAGAGUUGCAAAUUCUGACCAAAAAACUAUCUGAAGGAGAGUUCAACGCUCUUGGUGAAAUUCGCACAACAGUUUUAGAGCUUUCAGCACCAGCUCAACUGGUCAAAGAGCUGAAGGAGAAGAUGCAGGGUUCUGGCAUGCCUUGGCCUGGUGAUGAAGGUCCAAAGCGGUGGGAACAAGCAUGGAUGGCCAUAAAAAAGGUGUGGGCUUCAAAAUGGAAUGAGAGAGCAUACUUCAGCACAAGGAAGGUGAAACUGGAUCAUGACUAUCUUUGCAUGGCUGUCCUUGUUCAAGAAAUAAUAAAUGCUGAUUAUGCAUUU